UGGGGGAUAUUGCACAAUGGGCGAAAGCCUGAUGCAGCGACGCCGCGUGGGGGAUGAAGGCUUUCGGGUUGUAAACCUCUUUCGCUAUCGAACAAGGCCCGCUUAGGGUGGGUUGAGGGUAGGUGGAGAAGAAGCGCCGGCUAACUACGUGCCAGCAGCCGCGGUAAUACGUAGGGCGCGAGCGUUGUCCGGAAUUAUUGGGCGUAAAGGGCUUGUAGGCGGCUUGUUGCGCCUGCUGUGAAAACGCGGGGCUUAACUUCGCGCGUGCAGUGGGUACGGGCGGGCUUGAGUGUGGUAGGGGUGACUGGAAUGCCAGGUGUAGCGGUGGAAUGCGCAGAUAUCUGGAGGAACGCCGAUGGCGAAGGCAGGUCACCGGGCCAUUACUGACGCUGAGGAGCGAAAGCAUGGGUAGCGAACAGG
rnacentral:rRNA from 1 species